UCCGGUUUGUCACCGGCAGUCUCGUUAAAGUGCCCAACUAAAUGAUGGCAACUAGGGACAAGGGUUGCGCUCGUUGCGGGACUUAACCCAACAUCUCACGACACGAGCUGACGACAGCCAUGCAGCACCUGUCUCCAGGUUCCCGAAGGCACCCCCACAUCUCUGCGGGGUUCCUGGGAUGUCGAGACCAGGUAAGGUUCUUCGCGUUGCAUCGAAUUAAACCACAUGCUCCACUGCUUGUGCGCGCCCCCGUCAAUUCCGUUUGAGUUUUAAUCUUGCGACCGUACUCCCCAGGCGGAGUGCUUAACGCGUUAGCUUUGGCACUGCAGGGGUCAAUACCCGCAACACCUAGCACUCAUCGUUUACGGCGUGGACUAC
rnacentral:misc_RNA from 1 species